rnacentral:lncRNA from 1 species
CUCUCUAUAGUGAACCAAAAUAUACAAGUGAAUCUUCUUUCUUUUCAUGACAGAGUUUAGUAGAAAAGAAAGACGCAGAAAUAUACUAUGUAAUAAAUCCAUUAUUCUCACGUCUAAUUUGAUAUUUACCGCUUUAAUAAACAAGAUCGAGGAUAAAGAAGAGGCAGUCGAAGAUUACACCUUUAUUCAGCAAUAGUUGAGGAGACAUGGCAGGUUCGUGG